GACUCUCGAUAAUUGAUAUAUCGGCUCUCACAUCAAUGAAGAAUGUAGAAAAAUGCAAUACUUUGUGUGAAUUACAGAAUCCUAUGAACCAUCCAGUCUUUGAACGCAAAUUAUUCCCAAAGCCAUUAGGCUGAGGGCAUCUCUACCUUAGCAUCA
rnacentral:rRNA from 1 species